UGGGGAUAUUGCACAAUGGAGGAAACUCUGAUGCAGCGACGCCGCGUGAGUGAAGAAGUAUUUCGGUAUGUAAAGCUCUAUCAGCAGGGAAGAUGAUGACGGUACCUGACUAAGAAGCCCCGGCUAACUACGUGCCAGCAGCCGCGGUAAUACGUAGGGGGCAAGCGUUAUCCGGAUUUACUGGGUGUAAAGGGAGCGCAGGCGGUUUUGCAAGUUGAGAGUGGAAGCAGGGGGCUCAACCCCUUGACUGCUCCCAAAACUGUAAAACUUGAGUAUGGGAGAGGCAGGCGGAAUUCCUAGUGUAGCGGUGAAAUGCUUAGAUAUUAGGAAGAACACCGGUGGCGAAGGCGGCCUGCUGGACCAAAACUGACGCUGAGGCUCGAAAGCGUGGGUAGCAAACAGGAUUAGAUACCCUGGUAGUCCACGCUGUAAACGAUGAAUACUAGGUGCUGGGAGGCAUAAGCUUUUCGGUGCCGUCGCAAACGCAUUAAGUAUUCCACCUGGGGAGUACGUUCGCAAGAAUG
rnacentral:rRNA from 1 species